rnacentral:ribozyme from 16 species
GAAAGGCAAAUCGAACGCAAAUAGGAAAUAUGGCGAUAAAAGCUGUGGCUAAAAAUAAUAAAUAUUUUUCUUUCUCUUCCCAGUUCUCUUUUUUUUUUCUUUUU